UACGAAGGGGGCUAGCGUUGUUCGGAAUUACUGGGCGUAAAGGGCGCGUAGGCGGUACUUCAAGUCAGGCGUGAAAGCCCCGGGCUCAACCUGGGAACCGCGCUUGAGACUGGAGAACUAGAGUUCGGGAGAGGAUGGUGGAAUUCCCAGUGUAGAGGUGAAAUUCGUAGAUAUUGGGAAGAACACCGAUGGCGAAGGCAGCCAUCUGGACCGACACUGACGCUGAGGCGCGAAAGCGUGGGGAGCAAACAGG
rnacentral:rRNA from 3 species